GCAGUCCUCGUCUUGCCGCAGCGUCACUCCCCUCCCCGCAGCUUCCCGACGUUGGGCUGCUCCCCUCCCCGCCGCGCCGCGCCGCGCCGGUGAGCUCCCUCGCGCCGCUGAGCUCCCUCGCCCCGCUGAGAUCCCCCGCGCCUCCUCUCCCUCCUCCACGCCGCCGCGCCGCUCCAGUUCGCUGCGUAGCUCCUCCUCUCCCCUAAAAAUCCCUUCUUCCGGUGAGGUUCUCUUCGACGAGGCGCCGUUCAAUCUGGAGGAUGACGACAAGUUGGCGCUCGAUCUGGAGCAUGGCGACGGCAUGGGGCGGGCGCUCUCGUCCUCGAGCUCCUAAUCCACCAGAUCCUCUUCCUCCUCCAGGCCCUCCUCAACAUCACCGGCGACGACGGCAUGGGGAAGACGACGGCGGCAGCUGCGGAAGUCAACCCCAACGAAGGCGGAUCCUCCUCAACAUCCCAGGCUCCUCCUCCUCCAGGAUCUAAUUCUUGAUUCUUGCGUCGGUCUGAACUGUGCGAUUUACGUUUCGUCAGAGGUCUGUUCUUGGGAUUCUGGUGCUGUUGAUCUCGUCAAGGGCCUCAUCUGCUUUCUUUCAUCUUGUGAAGGUGAUUAUUAUUAGUACUUUCCCUGCUAAUUGUUUACUGUUUCAAUACAUUUUGUUCCUCUAACAUAGUGUCUUUAGCGUUCUUGGUAGAACGGUUUUAUUGUGCAUGGAAUGUUUUAUCCUCUCACCUUAUACUAUUUAUUUGUGUGCUUACAUAUAUUCUUUCCUGCUUCGUAUUGUGUAAUUACUUCGUUUACCUAGAAUGUGUGCUCUGGUGUCCUUUGUUCUUCCAAUUUUGGAACUGUGGUAGCACAAUGUGCAUUGCUUCCGCCUUUUUAUUUGUGUGAGAUCGACGGGAAUGGUCAUGUGCUUGCUGGUGUAGAGAUUGAUGUUCCUGGGGAUGGCCUUAUAGGUAAUAAACCUAGGUUUAUUUUAGAUUCAAAUCACUUAGCUUUUUUUGAGCCAUGGAACCUACAGUUUUACACUGCCAGAUUGAGACAUGGAAAUUCAUGAUGUACUUUGCGAGACCCCUGUCCGUUAGUGCCUCUUUGAUCGGCUCUGCUAUGGCAUUGGAUAAGCCUUUAGUAUAGUGAGCUUUGGUAGAAAAUGGUUCUGCCAUUCUUGAACAGCACCUGUACUAAAACUGAAUAAUUAAAUGCAACCAACAUAGACUUUCCUGCUAUCUAUGAUUACUCAACAAGUUCUUUUAGUUUUAGUCUGACAUGGUAGCUAACACCAAUUGUUCAUAUCUAUCUUCUUUGACCAUACUACAUAUGCAUAAUACUGAUCAAUGGCAAUAAUCCUUAUAUGGCCUUUUUUAUGAGCGAUAAUCUAACAUUUAUAAAAUCAUCUUAGGAUUUCCUAAUGGAUCCUGUACACAUUCCACCAAGGGUUAUUUUGGAUGCUAUGCUGAACACACUCUAUAGCUCCCAAAAGCUGUGUACUACACCCAGCCUACAGGAGACAUUGGUAUAGAGACUGAUUGAGUAUUAUCCAUCUCUGCAGCACUUGCCAAAGAGCACUGUCAAGAGAUUUGUUUGUCAGUCUGAGUCAUCUUGCUACUUUUGCAGGUUUAUUUGCAUAUGAAAUCACCAGAAUUUUCGCCAUGGCUCUGGUUCUUGACAUGGUGCUUAAAAGCACUCAUCCCAUCUUGAUUAUUCGCAUACAGUUUUUUGUUUUUGUUUUUACUGAUUCACUUCUAUCGACAUUUUUUAUGUCCCUUUUUAUGACCAGCUUGGUCAUUUGGUCUGGAUGGAGUCAUUCAACUCGGAAAGAAAAAAGAAUUUGAGAAUGCUUUAUCUUUCAUGCAAUAGUUGCGGUCAAUUGUUCUUGGUUUUUCCUGUAGUAGUUGAUAAUCAGUCUGAACAAUAGUAGAUUAGUAAAGCCAAUAGCAGUUAAUUUGAGACGACUUUUAUCUUCCCUACAGCAGUUAAGGUUGAUUGUUCUUAGUUUUCCCUGUAGUGUUUAAUUUGAUUGUUCUGAGCAUUCAAAUUGUACUCUGUUUGUUUCUCUCCUACUCUUUUCUGACAAAUGUUAUU